rnacentral:lncRNA from 1 species
UGAAUGAAUUAAAUACCUCUAAUGGAAAAAAGAACGCGUAUUGCAAUUCCACAGCUUUUUUUUUUUAAACAGUGAAAUUGUGAAUUGAUUUAAGCUCUAUUUCCUCUUAGUAUGUGAACCUUUUUUCCAACCCUCAGUGCACUCGUGCCCCAAAAACUCACUAUAAUGUAUGCGUAAGUGCACGCCUCCAGCACUGUGGUUUCUCGGCUGAUAUCCACUGCCCGUUGUUAUGAGGGAUGAGAGUGCGAGACUGUGCUCUCUUAUCCAACUAGGAGGGACAUAAUGUUGACUGAAGUAUGCACUGCUUCUGUCACACGUACUGUGAAAAGCCUCCUGCCCUGAGGGAGAGGUGCACCAGCUGUACUAGGACAGGUCCAAAGCCUGUGGGGGAAUAUUAAUGGCAAUGAAGAUGAUGACUUGAAGAAGCCAGUGGAUGAGGCUGUUAAUGCUACAAACUAUGGUUGGAGGUGGGGAGUUC